rnacentral:rRNA from 1 species
AUUGCCCUAGUAACGGCGAGUGAAGCGGCAACAGCUCAAAUUUGAAAGCUAGCCUUCGGGUUCGCAUUGUAAUUUGUAGAGGAUGAUUUGGGGAAGCCGCCUGUCUAAGUUCCUUGGAACAGGACGUCAUAGAGGGUGAGAAUCCCGUAUGUGACAGGAAAUGGCACCCUAUGUAAAUCUCCUUCGACGAGUCGAGUUGUUUGGGAAUGCAGCUCUAAAUGGGAGGUAAAUUUCUUCUAAAGCUAAAUAUUGGCGAGAGACCGAUAGCGCACAAGUAGAGUGAUCGAAAGAUGAAAAGCACUUUGGAAAGAGAGUUAAAAAGCACGUGAAAUUGUUGAAAGGGAAGCGCUUGCAAUCAGACUUGUUUAAACUGUUCGGCCGGUCUUCUGACCGGUUUACUCAGUUUGGACAGGCCAGCAUCAGUUUCGGCGGCCGGAUAAAGGCUCUGGGAAUGUGGCCUCCACUUCGGUGGAGGUGUUAUAGCCCAGGGUGUAAUACGGCCAGCCGGGACUGAGGUCCGCGCUUCGGCUAGGAUGCUGGC